rnacentral:rRNA from 1 species
UACGUAGGGGGCAAGCGUUGUCCGGAAUCAUUGGGCGUAAAGAGCGUGUAGGCGGCCCGGUAAGUCCGCUGUGAAAGUCCAGGGCUCAACCCUGGGAUGCCGGUGGAUACUGUCGGCUCGAGUCCGGAAGAGGAGUGUGGAAUUCCUGGUGUAGCGGUGAAAUGCGCAGAUAUCAGGAGGAACACCGGUGGCGAAGGCGGGUCUCUGGGCCGAUACUGACGCUGAGGAGCGAAAGCGUGGGGAGCAACAGG